GUGUCAGCAGCCGCGGUAACACCGGCAGCUCGACAUUUAUGCUCUUUUCUUGGGCCUAAAGCGUCCGUAGCCGGUCCGAUAAGUCUCUGGUGAAAGCCCACAGCUCAACUGUGGGAAUCGCUGGAGAUACUAUCGGACUUGAGGCCGGGAGAGGCUGGAGGUACUCCCAGGGUAGGGGUGAAAUCCUAUAAUCCUGGGAGGACCACCUGUGGCGAAGGCGUCCAGCUGGAACGGACCUGACGGUGAGGGACGAAAGCCAGGGGCGCGAACCGGAUUAGAUACCCGGGUAGUCCUGGCCGUAAACGAGGCGGACUUGGUGUUGGGACGGCUUUGAGCUGUCCCAGUGCCGAAGGGAAGCUGUUAAGUCCGCCGCCUGGGAAGUACGGCCGCAAGGCUGAAACUUAAAGGAAUUGGCGG
rnacentral:rRNA from 1 species